rnacentral:rRNA from 1 species
UACAGAGGGUGCAAGCGUUAAUCGGAAUUACUGGGCGUAAAGCGCAUGUUGGUGGUUGAGUACGUUUGAUGUGAAAGCCCCGGGCUUAACCUGGGAAUGGCAUUGAAUACUGCUGAACUAGAGUCGGACAGAGGGCAGUGGAAUUUCCGGUGUAGCGGUGAAAUGCGUAGAGAUCGGAAAGAACACCAGUGGCGAAGGCGGCUGCCUGGGUCCAGACUGACACUUAAGUGCGAAAGCGUGGGGAGCAAACAGG